CCAGUUCUUUGCAUCACUCAUAUCCAUAUUAAAAAUCUUGUAAUUUGUGAUAUGAAAACUUAAAGAUCUGAGCUUUUAAAAUGUUUGUAAUUGUUAACAGCUUAUAAGCCUACACAAAAGGCCAACAUAAUGCUCAGAAAUGUAAAAGUUUGCAACCGUUUUCCCUUUCAAAGCAAACACAAUACGGAAAACUAAAAAUAUGACACAGAAAAGAUAUAUAAUUAAACACAGAAAAAGAAAACAAGUACAACACGGAAAACUAUAACAUAAAGCAUACAUUUAUAAUAAAUUAUCAGUUGAACUCAAAUGCUCUUAAAUAGUAAGCGGUUCAUAAAAGUGAAUACAACGCAGAAAACUAAAAAGCAAAUACAACAUGGAGAACUUAAACUAAAUACAACACGGAGAACUUAAACCAAAUACAACACGGAGAACUUAAACCAAAUACAACACGGAGAACUUAAACCAAAUGCAACACGGAGAACUUAAACCAAAUGCAACAUGGAGAACUUAAACCAAAUACAACACGGAGAACAUAAACCAAAUACAACACGGAGAACUUAAACCAAAUACAACACGGAGAACUUAAAUCAAAUACAACACGGAGAAAUUAAACCAAAUACAACACGGAGAACUUUAACCAAAUCAACACGGAGAACUUAAACCAAAUACAACA
rnacentral:lncRNA from 1 species